rnacentral:rRNA from 1 species
GACGAACGCUGGCGGCGUGCUUAACACAUGCAAGUCGAGCGGUAAGGUCACUUCGGGGGUACACGAGCGGCGAACGGGGGAGUAACACGUGGGUGACCUGCCCUCAGCUCUGGGAUAAGCCUGGGAAACUGGGUCUAAUACCGGAUAUGACUUUUACUUUCAUGGGGUUUGGUGGAAAGUUCUUUCGGCUGGGGAUGUGACUGCGGCCUAUGAGCUGGUUGGUGGGGUGAUGGCCUACCAAGGCGACGACGGGUAGCAGGCCUAAGAGGGCGACCGGCCACACGGGGAGGGAGACAGCGCCCGGACUCCUACGGGAAGAGGCGGUGGGCUAUAUUGGCAAAGCGGCGGAAGCCAUAAGCAUCUACGCCGCGUAGAGGUUGACGGCCUGCGGGGUGCAAAAGUCUUUCGACCCCGACAAAUUUGGACGGUAGGGAAAGAAGAAGCACCGGCCAACUACGUG